GACGAACGCUGGCGGCGUGCUUAACACAUGCAAGUCGAACGGAAAGGCCUUUUCGGCGGUACUCGAGUGGCGAACGGGUGAGUAACACGUGGGUGAUCUGCCCUGCACUCUGGGAUAAGCCUGGGAAACUGGGUCUAAUACCGGAUAGGACCGCACUUUAGUGUGUGUGGUGGAAAGUUUUUUCGGUGUAGGAUGAGCCCGCGGCCUAUCAGCUUGUUGGUGGGGUAAUGGCCUACCAAGGCGGCGACGGGUAGCCGGACUGAGAGGUUGGUCGGCCACAUUGGGACUGAGAUACGGCCCAGACUCCUACGGGAGGCAGCAGUGGGGAAUAUUGCACAAUGGGCGCAAGCCUGAUGCAGCGACGCCGCGUGGGGGAUGACGGCCUUCGGGUUGUAAACUCCUUUCGCCAGGGACGAAGCGUUUUGUGACGGUACCUGGAGAAGGAGCACCGGCUAACUACGUG
rnacentral:rRNA from 1 species